AUUGAACGCUGGCGGCAUGCCUUACACAUGCAAGUCGAACGGUAACAGGUCUUCGGAUGCUGACGAGUGGCGAACGGGUGAGUAAUACAUCGGAACGUGCCUAGUAGUGGGGGAUAACUACUCGAAAGAGUGGCUAAUACCGCAUGAGAUCUACGGAUGAAAGCAGGGGAUCGCAAGACCUUGUGCUACUAGAGCGGCCGAUGGCAGAUUAGGUAGUUGGUGGGAUAAAAGCUUACCAAGCCGACGAUCUGUAGCUGGUCUGAGAGGACGAUCAGCCACGCUGGGACUGAGACACGGCCCAGACGCCUACGGGAGGCAGCAGUUGGGAAUUUUGGACAAUGGGCGCAAGCCUGAUCCAGCAAUGCCGCGUGCAGGAUGAAGGCCUUCGGGUUGUAAACUGCUUUUGUACGGAACGAAAAGCCCUGGGUUAAUACCCUGGGGUCAUGACGGUACCGUAAGAAUAAGCACCGGCUAACUACGUGCCAGCCGCCGCAGUAACAC
rnacentral:rRNA from 1 species